GCCAGUGUAAUGUAAUGGUUUAAAUGUUAGACUAUAACUCUGGAGACUGUGGUUCGAUUCCCACCUUGGCC